rnacentral:lncRNA from 1 species
AAUAGUAUGGAUAGAGCAUCCUUGUGGCAUUGUCGUCUUGGACAUGUCAACAAGAAGCGCAUAGCCCAACUCCAAAAGGAUGGAGUGUUGGAGUCAUUCGACCUUAGGGAAGAUGACACAUGCGAGUCUUGUUUACUUGGAAAGAUGACUAAGUCACCCUUCACUAGUACAUGUGAAAGGGGUGAGGGUCUAUUGGACCUCAUACAUACCGAUGUAUGUGGACCGUUUAGAUCAACCACAAAGGAUGGGAACCGCUUCUAUGUGACUUUUACCGAUGACUAUAGUAGAUAUGGGUAUAUCUACUUAAUCAAGCAAAAGUCAGAAACGUUUGAAAAGUUCAAAGAGUUCAAGAAUGAAGUGGAGAAUCAAUUGGGCAGGAAAAUCAAGAUGCUUCGAUCCGAUCGAGGAGGAGAGUACCUAAGUCUUGAAUUCCACGAUUAUCUCAAGGAGUGUGGAAUAGUUUCACAAUUGACGCCUCCUAGGACACCGCAGUUGAAUGGUGUGGCAGAAAGGCGUAAUCGAACCUUAUUGGAUAUGGUUCGCUCUAUGAUGAGUCGUGCUUCACUACCUAUCUCUUUUUGGGGGUAUGCCUUAGAGACUGCCGCCCAUAUCCUUAACCGAGUCCCUACUAAGAAGGUUGCCAAAACACCUCACGAGAUGUGGACAGGGAAAGCUCCCUCGUUGGCACAUAUCAAGGUUUGGGGUUGCGAGGCUUUCGUAAGACGAGAUACUCACGACAAGCUUGAACCUCGAAGUGAGCGAUGUAUUUUCAUCGGCUACCCGCAGACAUCCUUUGGAUAUCUCUUCUAUAGACCGAAGGACAAUGUUGUCUUCGUUGCGAGGAGAGGAGUUUUCCGAGAGCGAGAACUCAUAAGCCAAGGAGACAGUGGGAGGCAAAUCGAGCUUGAAGAGAUUCAAGAGUCGAUUGAUGAAGGAACCUCUACCGCUGGCACUCAACCUGAGGAGGAAACUCCGAUUGAACCGAUUGACGAGUCAUUACCUCUUAGACGUUCCGAAAGAGUUAGAGUUCAACCCUAGUUUUAUGGUUUUCGUAUUACUACCGAAGGGGAAACGUAUAUUAGUGAUGGUACACUAACAAACCUUGAUGAACCUAAUAGCUAUAAGGAAGCCAUGGCAGGCCCGGAGUCUGCAAAAUGGAAAGAGGCAAUGGAUAGCGAGAUCCAAUCCAUGUAUGAUAACCAAGUUUGGAAUUUGGUUGAUUAUGUGCCCGGACGUAAGACCGUUGGGUGCAAAUGGAUCUUCAAGAAGAAGACCGACGUGGAUGGAAACGUACACACAUAUAAAGCGCGAUUGGUUGCGAAGGGCUUUACUCAAACUCCCGGAGUUGACUAUGAUGAGACCUUCUCACCAGUUGCGAAGAUUAAAUCUAUUAGAGUGAUGCUAGCAAUUGCCGCAUUUCAUGAUUAUGAGAUUUGGCAAAUGGAUGUCAAGACCGCUUUCCUUAAUGGGAAGUUGGCUGAGGAUGUUUACAUGGCUCAGCCAGAGGGGUUUGUGGAUCCGAAGCAUCCGAAUAGAGUGUGUAAGCUUGAGAAGUCCAUUUAUGGACUUAAGCAAGCGUCUCGCAGAUGGAAUCUUUGCUUCGAUGAGAAAGUCAAAGAGUUUGGAUUUGUACCAAGCGAAGAUGAAUCAUGUGUAUAUGUCAAAGCCAGUGGGAGUAUAGUAAGCUUCCUUGUUUUGAAUGUCGAAGACAUACUACUCAUAGGAAACGACGUUCCGACUCUGCAGGAGCUUAAGUCCUGGCUCGGCAAGUGCUUCGCUAUGAAGGAUCUCGGAGAGACUUCCUAUAUUUUGGGAAUAAGGAUAGUGAGAGAACGAAGUAAGAGACUAAUAGGACUUAGUCAGAACACUUACUUGGAUAAAGUACUAAAACGUUUUAGUAUGGAAAACUCGAAGAAGGGAGAAUUACCGAUACAAAGUAAUGCCAAGUUGAGUAAGACUCAAAGUCCGAGUACCGAAGCUGAAAUAGCAGAAAUGAGCCGAGUACCAUACGCUUCCGCAGUUGGCUCAAUCAUGUACGCUAUGACUUGUACUCGCCCUGAUGUAGCCUUCGCUUUGAGCAUGGUUAGCAGAUAUCAAGGGAAUCCUGGCAAAGCACAUUGGAUUGCGGUGAAGAAUAUCCUUAAGUACCUUCGGAGGACGAAGGAAUGGUUCUUAGUCCUCGGAGGGAGUGAUGACUUGAAGGUGCGAGGGUAUAGUGACGCCAGUUUUCAGACCGACAGGGACAACUACCGUUCGCAGUCGGGCUGGGUCUUUACCCUAAAUGGAGGAGCAGUGACUUGGAAGAGUUCCAAGCAGGAAACCGUAGCUGAUUCAACGUGCGAAUCAGAGUACAUUGCAGCGAGCGAAGCGUCGAAGGAGGCAAUAUGGCUAAAGAACUUCAUCGGUGAUCUUGGAGUUGUACCUGCCAUAAAGGAGCCAAUGGAGAUUUUCUGUGAUAACGAAGGUGCGGUUGCCUUAACCAAGGAACCGAGGGAUCAUGGUAGAUCAAGACAUAUCGACAGAAAGUAUCACUUCAUUAGACAUCGUGUAGAAGAAGGACAACUCGUAGUGAAGAGGAUAUCAUCAGAAGAUAACCCAGCAGAUCCGCUUACGAAGGGACUGAGUAGGGUUAAGCACUUGCAGCAUGCUAGGAGUAUUGGGCUGAAGGAUGAUAUUAGCAUAGAUUAGAUAGUAUUAGAAACGUGUAAUAGAUAAAUGUAAUUAACAUUUGAUGAUUAAAUAAAGGAGUUUUAUUUAUGAGUAAUGUUACUAUCUUAUGUUAAUUGUUUAGCUAUUGUUUCACUUUGCAUGUUUUGACUUCCAGAAUAAUUGAGUUUAUUAGGAAUAAUCGAAUUGUUCAAAUGGUCCACAAUCGUUCAUAUGUUGGGAGUAGAUAUGAAUGAAGAUUGUCAUGAAUUGGUGUGUAGAAUGUCUAAAUGGUGUUAGACAUAGCAAAGGAUUGCUGCAACGUUCAUGAGUGCUUAUGAACUAGUUUUGAGCAUUGGAAUAAACCCGCGCUUGCUGGAAUCACCUUAUGGAAUACGAUAUAAAAGGUGAUCGCAAGACGAUAAUAUCAUAUAGUCUUAAAACCUAGAUAUAUGGUUUAUUAUUUGUUAAUUGAUUGUACAUUGAUAAUACGAAAACGCAUCAGUAACUUGGUGUUAUAAAACGUAUUGUUGUGUAUAGUUGGUAAAUGAAUAAGUAAAUGCAUAUAAGUCGAAGUUUAUCUGUAACUUUUAUCUAAGAAGGUAAAAGCGAUAUCUCGGCCGCUCGAUGAUUUGAUUUGACUUAUGUGCCGGGCCCGGUCAGAACUGAAUUGAUGUGUUCGAUUAAGUUCUAUGUCAAAUAAAUCAGAGAUCGAGAAACCUAAAUGCUUGACUAACCAUUCCAUAGGAUUGUCAGCAUGAUAUCUAACAGAGGACUGUACGUUCCCUUAUCUAAAGGACAAGAUUGAUUAGAUCAGAGUUGACAGCGUCUUUGAGAGCUACGAUUGCAAACCGAAUUGUACUUGUAUAGUUACUAGACUUAUCCAAGUGGGAGACUGUUGGAAUAGUGUCUAAGGCUGUAACUAUAUUAGGCAAGUAUUUGAUCCGGUUGUGCAUGGUCCUUUUGGGUUGCCUUCACCAUAGCAACUUGAUAGGAUGAUUUAUUAUGAGAGAAGUAAUAUUAUUAAUAUAUUAUAAGAAUAAUAUAAGGAAUAAUAAUAUUAUUAUUUGAUUAAUAUAAGUCGUAAAUUAAUUAAGAAUUAAUUUGGGGACUUAAAGAAUAAAGGGGCAUAAACUGUCAAUAGAUUGAUAGUUGUACUUUGGGCUACAAACCCCUUAAGGAUAAGGGGGGACGAUUUCUAGGGCUUAGGAUAGGCUUAGAUUUCAUCCAAGGCUUAUCAAUUAGGGUAUUGGAUUGCUCAGGGCCUAAGUUAUCCAAUUAGGGUUUAAGGGUGAAACCCUAGGAGCCUCACUAGUAUAUAUAGACCCUAAAGGUCAAGGGAAAUCGGCACUCUUGAUAGAAAAGAAACCCUGGCCGAUUUUCUCUUCCCUCUCCUCUCUCUCAAAUCAUCCUCUUGCUAGUUGGUGUUUGUAAGCCAUUAGAGGAGUGACAAUUGUGACUCUAAAGCUCCAAGGACAAGAAGAUCAAGCAAGUGAUUCAAGGUAAUCUUCUAAUUCUGAUUUCAUAUUGUUAUUAUACUCUAUUAGCCAUUAGAAGUCUUGGAUUCAAUGUAUGUUCAAUUAGAGAAACCUAGAUCCAAGCAUUAGUGUUUGCAUGUGCACAUGGGAAUGUUCAUAUGGCUAAAACCCAUCACUUAUAACACUUAUAUAAGGUGUUUAACUUGUCUUAGGAUGUCUUAACUUUGUUAAUUAGUUGUUUAAAGACUAAUUUGACACAUAUAUGUGUAUUUAUAUGUUAACUAGGAUCAUUGUGUGUGUACAAGUCUUCACUUGACACGUAGCAAUCCUAUUUCUUUAGUUCAUCCAUACCACUCGCUACAUGUGAGUUCAUACCCCUUAAUUAACCUUUUAAAUGUUUUUAAAUGCUUUUAUGGGGGGGGGGAUAUAAGUUGAACAAUUCUAGUUAUUAUAUCAAUCACAUGUGAUUAAUAACUACCAAACUAGUGGAUUCUUACUUUUCAAACUGUGUUACCAAACUGCUUUACUUCAAACUGUUUUACAAACUCUUUUACUUAUCAAAUACUUUUACUUAAACUCUUUCAUACUUAUAUAUUGUCAAAUGCAUGUCUAUGUAUGUAUAGUUAUAUAAGCAAUGUUUAAAAGACUUAGGAAGGCCAACUCGCUUUAAUUCCUUGCUUUAAUUCCUUUUCCUUGUUUGGAUGUGGCUUUAGGGAAUCGGUUACCGUCCGAAGGUCGUUUAAAUAUUAGUUGUAUAUCAUGUAUACAUACAUAUUCAUAAAAGUUCCUUCAAUCAGUUCUAUACCUUUGGGUAGCAAGGGUAUACAAACAUGAUCAUAAAUUACUAGUAAGCUACCAUAUGGGUAGUUUAGGAAGAUACUAAAACUAUUGCUAGAAUAAUGAAACAUACAAUCAGUCAGUUCAUUUAUGAGUCAAUACUUGCUAGAUAGAGAGAGAUCACACAAUACAGCUAGUACACAUAGUACAUUACUAUACAUGCUAGAUAGAGAGAGAACACACAUUAUAGCUAGCACAUGCAGAACAUUACAUUACAUACAGGCUAGACAGAGAAAGAACACACAAUACAGCUAGCACAUUCAUUACAUAUACAUUCAUGUAGUUAUGUGAACUGUUAAACGGGGCAUGACACUACCUGCCAUGACCGUUUUUGUAUCCAGAAUCUCCUUAAUUGGGGAUCGUAUGAGUUUGCGGAUAAAUCUAUACUGGAUUAACUAUCCAACACCUUGUUGCUCGCCACAGUGGGACUUGCAAGUCUACGGGUGCCAAAUGUCAUUUCUUACGGCGUCUUACAUCGUCGUUUUACUAGAGUCGGUAGUAGGAUACAGGUCGAUCACAUGUUACUUUAAAUAUGAAUUCGUUUAAGGUAGUUAGUACAACAGUAGUCACUUAUUACAAAUACUACAGUACUAUGAUAUUUUCCUAUUACAUUCACUUCGUGAAUAUUCACACAAUGCACGGUAAUGUAAAAACUAUAUUUUUUGUUAAUGAUAGUCGGACUUGGGAGAAUACACACUCUUACAAGAGACACACACACAUAUACUAGAUGCCUUGGUAGAAGGCUACAAUUAGUAGGAAACAUAGGGUUUUCUAGGAGAGUUCAAACAUUUUACAAAACAUCUUACAAAACAUAUUACAAAACAUAUUACAAAAUGCUUUCAUACAAACACAGACACUAAUAUACUUAUGAUCUCACCAGCUUUAAAGCUGAUACUCGCUUUCAUAAUAACUUGUAUUCUCAGGUCACCAGUAGUCAGAUACAAGUGCCAGGUUUUGAGAAGAUGGAGUUCGUUCAAGACUCAUCUUUUAUUUUGAUAUGUAUUUUUGGUGUCUAUAUAACUUGACAUAACACACUUGUAUGAAAUUAUAUUAUUAAUGCAAUGGAUGAUUUUGUUGCUUGUUUACUACUAUUCAUUGUUGUGAUACUGUACAUGACAUCCUCUGUCCCAGAACAUUUCCGCCGUUCAUGAUUUUGGGGUGUGACAACUUAUAACCACUAUUAUAGACUUAUCACCAUUUUAUCUUGCAUUCAUUUUGGCAAAAGAUGCCUCACGGUAGACCUGUAAGGCACAUAGUUAAUAACAUAACAGAGAACCCUGCACCACAACAUGACCCUGUUGCUUUCCAAGCAGUGGUAACAACUGCAGCAACAGCUGUUAUAACUCAAAUCCGUGCAAGUGGUACUAGUGGAUUUGGUAGCGGUACCCACCUAACUAACCCCGGAGUUACCCGUAGACACCCACAGAAGUGCUCAUACAAGGACUUCAUGAAAUGAAAUUGCAAAUCCUUUAAUGGAAUUGGGGGAGUCAUCACUCUAAUGUGGUGGUUCGAGAAAAUAGAUUCAGUUUUCAAAAUCUGUCUGUGCCCAGAAGGGAGCAAAGUGAAGUUUGCUGCAUGCACUUUCUCCAACAGAGCCCUAACAUGGUGGAAUGGCCAUGUUAAGUCACUGACCCUAUCAUUGGCUAACUCGAUGGGUUGGGAGAACCUGAAAGAGACGAUGAAGGAAGAAUAUUGGCCAAGAGGUGAAAUUCAAAAGUUGGAGCAAGACCUAUGGGAUCAUACCACGACUGGCUCAGAUAUAGUAGCCUACACUGACAUGUUUAGUGACCUGGAAGCACUAUGCCCCGAGAUGGUUACCCCGGAGAGUAAGAAGAUAGAAAGGUACAUCUGGGGGUUAUCUCCUUAGAUUCAAGGGAAUAUACUGUCUACUAACCCAACUACCUUCGAUAGCGUCAAAUGCUUGGCCUAGCGACUCAUUGACCAUGAAAUCUGCCAUCACGUGAUGGUUCCCAUUCCAGAGCCAUCAAAGGGAGGGGACUAUAAAUGAAAGUCGGGGAACAAGAGGAAGGAGCAAACAACACAGGAACCCCCGCAGGAGCAACAAGUGGUUACUAUGCACGUCGCCACAACACCUGCCACUACAACACCUGUCGGUUGAUAUGCUGGAACUCUCCCGAAGUGUGAUAAGUGUAACUACCACCACACCGGAGUAUACCGGGUAAUGCAGUGCAUGAAUUGCCACAAGAAGGGGCACACUACCCGUUUCUGCAAGGCGCCGACACAAGCAAUCUCCCAAGUCCCCAAAGUAGAAGCAAACCAGGCCUGCUAUGGUUGUGGGGAGACUGGGAACUACAAGAGGGACUGCCUAAUAACGAGGAACUCGGGUGAGGAAGGGAAAAUACUGAUGAUCACCAUAGGAGAGACUGCACCGAAACCACCAGGGAACAACAAUACAUCUUCUAAAUAAAAAAUUACUUUAAAGAUUUAAAUUUAUAUUAAUAUUAAAACUUGGGGAAAAAUUAAAAGUAAUUAUAAAUCAUUAAUUCAUCCGAACAAGUCACAACACUCAUAAAGGAACUAAAGAUCCGUUCAGGUGAGCUAUGAUGGCUUAGUAUGUACAUCAGGGUUAUGCAUAACUAAGAUUUUGCAGGCUUAGAGUGAGUGAUUUCGCUUCAUUUCCUGUUCCUUGUCUGGUUGUGGAUUUAGGGCAGAGUCACUCAGUCGAACGUCUUAUUCAUCUUAAUUAUACAUGGCUGGUAUAUACCAAGCGAUCAUAGAGGUACCUGAGACAGAUCAUAAUAUAAAGUAUCGACGCUAGUUAUUAAAGAACUUUCACUGUUAGUACUCGCUUAUUGCGGUACGUUUUGUGGCAGUGAUAAUUUAGAGAAAGCACUAGAAAGCCUACACAAAAUGCAUUGUCGAGCACACUCGGGAUACACAUUCAUAUAGCAAACGCUUCUUUUAAAUCGACCUAACAUUUGUCUCUAUAAAGGAGUUCCGACGUUGUCAUUCUUCAUGGAUUGGCGUGAUCCUCACCAUACCAAUUUCAUGUGCUCUGAAAACUUUUCACCAUAACCGAACGACUAACGAAACCCUCGGCACUCGUAAUGACAACCUGAAUUAGACCUCAGAAUCGUCUCCCUCAUAUUCUAAACCCCAAAGUGCUCAUGCGAGGAAUACCCUUCCCUUCGAAACCUUGCCAAUGUAUACUCAACAAAACUUCCAGAACUACCACUCGUCUAACAUGUCAAGUUCAAGCGUAGAGGCUAAGGACGAAUACGUUUAAUCUAUCACAACUAAGUAUAUACGCGAGAGUAGUAUAUAAUUAAGAUUCUAUGGACUGAGAAUGUGUGCUUCCACCCUAUUUCUUGUUCCUUUUCUGGUUGUGGACCUGGGGCAGAGUCGCACAUCUGACCGUCUUACUAAUCUUAAUUAUAUGCGACUUGUAUACACGAGGUGAUGAUAGAUGGACCAAGUAUGAAUCCUAUCAUGAACAUCAGAGCAAAGUUGCCCAGGUCUACGAGGCGACACUCUACCAUUCAAAGGAGCACGACCCAAGUAGUCCUGCUAAGAAAGCUAAUUUCGGGACGAAAUUCCAUCUAACAGGGGGAUGAUGUCACAACUUGAAAAUAUUAUUCCUAUAAAAGUUAACUUUGGUCAAACUUAUUACUUCCAUGAUCUUAAAUUAGAUGGAUUUUUUGAUUAAGUAGUGAAGCCUUGUAACUAAGUGUGUUUUAGUUUUGAGGAAAAAGUACCUUCGCAUGGACCACAAAACCCUUGCAGCCAUGAGCCUUUGAAGUCGUGAACACCGAGUCGUGAACUCCGAGCCGUCAACUCAGAGUCAUGAACUUCGAAGCCAUGAACCUUGGACUGUGAACCCUCAGACCAUGAACUAGACCCUAUAUAUAAGUUUACUUCAUUUUUAUUUCAUUAUUCUACUUCUGGCCAUGAUCUCAUCCCAUUCUGUCUCAAGUGUCAUAUUCAAGAACACCCUUUUUAUCCCUUAAACACUCAUUUUCUUUUACAUCUCUUUGGUAUACCACGAGAGGCCUACAAACACUUGCCAACCACCAGAAAUCUUCAAGUGUUCUUCAUGUUCUUGGGCCGUGAACCACUCAUAGGGUCGUGAACCUUUCAACAUGGGCCGUGAAUGUAAUAUCCCCAUUUUCACGGCCAGAAAAGACUGAUUUUGUUUUUGCUUUAUAAAAAUUAGAGUACUUCUUUUCAUAAAAAUGUUGCGGAAUUUGUUCCCAGAAAAAUACGAUAAAUACGUUAUCAAAACAUUUUCGAAGGAACGUAUUUUACUCAUUUUAAAAGGUUUGGGAUGUCAUCGGCAAUACAGGAACAUAAGAAUAAACGGAACUUACAUUUAUUUACACUAGUAAUCUACAUCUUUUUAAUCUCUCAGUGUAAUGUCACUUCAUAUCGACACCUAUGAUAUAAAUAAACUGAAUGGGUCAGGUUGGGAAACCUGGUGAGUACAUAGGGUUAUCAACCCACAAUAAUAUAAUUAUUAUGUUUAAACAAUCAAAUAAUCAACCCAAUUACCCAUCUCCAUUAUCUUCUUUAUUCUUAAGGAUCUACCCUAAGAAUCAACUACUUCUCAUUCAUUUAUUCCUAAGGAGUAUCCUAAGGAAUAGGUACGAAUUCCAUCGUUGUAAAUGACACAUCUGUCAAGCACAACUGCUAGUUCUGUCACUAGGGCGCAACUGCCAAAAUUGUGACAAUCUCUAUGGGGCGCAUCUGCCGGAAUAGUCCUUUAGGCGCAUCUGCCGGGGUUAUGAGGUUCUCUAUUAGGCGCUUCUGCCGGUAGAGUCCUUUAGGCGCAUCUACCAGGGUUUUAUUGACAAUAUCGUUUUCGAGAGUCCACUUGCAAUACAUAUCAAUGGGUUUUUAGAGUACACCGAUGAACACAUCGUUCACAACACCUACAGGUUGCGAGCCUGCUAGUGUUCCACUGGACUGUCUAGAAUAGUACGUGGUUGUCAUCCAUACUCUGCUGAAUGACAGGGCCAUCAUUUGGGAAAAGGCUUCUCACAUCGUCCACCUCUCACCCUCACCUCACGGUCUAUUUCACCUCUCAACUUCUAUUACAUGUACCCAUGUCUUACCCCAGCAUUUUCGUAGAUAUAAAAUACAUAUACAGUUUAAAUCAUUUAAAACGUGUAUAAAAUCGUUCAUCCAGCAUAGAUAGCAAGUAUUCAGAUAAUAUGCACACAUACCACGUAAUUUAUAUAAAAUACUUCAUAUCUUUGUGUAAGCUGAAAGGGACCAUGCACUCACCUGAAAGGUGGUGACUCAGCACUCGGACAACGCUUUGAUACUCUCAAAACAAUUCUCCUUCGAUAAAACCUAGUAUCAAUACCAAUAGGGUUUAGUCUAACAUCAACCGCGACUAAUUAAUAGUCUAGCUAUUAUUAUUAUUUAAGCGUGAAAUAACACUCAAUAUAACUCAUAAUAAUAGCCCAAAUAAUUAUUUUAAGGACCUAAUAAAAUUACUAUAAUUAUUUGAAAGCUAUAUUAAAAAUUGCAUAAGCGUAGCUCACUUACAUCGGAUUUUAAAGAUAACCGGGCUUUGCUUGGUGUAGCGUUUCCGAAACCGAAAGACCCUUUUUUCUCGGGACUUCGGGAGCCUUGGGGCUUCCUUUGGGUGCUAGGGGCCUUAUCUAGGGUUUAGGGGGGGGGGGGGGUUAAAAUGGGUAGUAAGAGAAAGUAGAGAGAGAAAGGAAUGAAGAAAUUAGUGAUUUCCUCGCCAGCCCUCGCAGGGUAUUUAUGGGGCGAAGCCUCGGUGGUACGCGAUGCAUUCAAAGGAGCUAUGAUGGGCGUAGCUUCAGAUGAGGUUGCCAGCUGCGUCCAACUGUCUUGCACUUCGAACAGGAUAAGAACCGACGGAAUGCGAGGCGUAGAGUGAAGGCGAGGUGACGUGGCAUGAUCAGAAGCGAGCCUUGUCAUCGGUAUCAGACGGCUGUGGCGCUGCCACGUCAGCACUCCUAUCAUCAGCUUCGUAAUUUCGAUUUUAAACUUCAAAAAUUCGUAUCUUCCUCAUACGAGCUCCGUUUUCGACUUUCUUUAUAUCCACGUGAAGGCGGGAACGUACUCUACAACUUUCAUCUAGACUUCAUCGGCUAAUUUUGACUUUAUUUUAAAAGUUAUAUUGUUUAACAGGCCUGGACACAAUUGGUCCGUUAAAAAUUCAUAACUUCUUCAUCCAACAUCCGUUUUCGUCUGUCUUUUUAUCAUUACGCUAAUAUUAACAAGAUCUCAGAUUCUCGUUUAGGUUGUGUCGUCUAAAAACCGCUCGAUCUAAUAUUCGAAUUUCGGGCUGUAUACUGUUAAGCCGAAACUUCGAAAAAUCAUAACUUCUUAUUACGAAGUCAGAUUUGGGCGUUCUUUUUAUGGACGCUCUCGGUUUAACGUAUUCUACGACUUUCGUUUAGGUCGCUAAGGCUAAAUCUCGCUUUAUCGUAAAUACACUAUUUACGCUUCCCGUAUCGUGCCGNNNNNNNNNNNNNNNNNNNNNNNNNNNNNNNNNNNNNNNNNNNNNNNUAUGUACGGAAACCUUGUAACAUAUACUACAACUUGGUUGAGAUUAUUUAUUCUUAAUAAUAUUUUUUCGAAAAGUCGUUUUCGGCCCCCUAUUAUCUCUAAAUUGACUAGCCCGGAUCUACGGGCGUUACAGUGAACACUCAUGUGUUCUUAGGCCGUGAUCACUCCUUUGGGCCAUCAACACCAUUUCAGAUUCCUAACUUGUUCCUAGAACUCUUUUGGUGAGUUAUUCUUGCAUCCUAGGUUGUUUCCUAAUCACCUUUGUAGUUAUAUUCACUAACUAUAUAUAUAUAUAUAUAUAUAUAUAUANNNNNNNNNNNNNNNNNNNNNNNNNNNNNNNNNNNNNNNNNNNNNNNNNNNNNNNNUAUUUAGUUUAUAUAUAUAUAUAUAUAUAUAUGUGUGUGUGUGUGUGUGUGUGUGUUAUGCUAAUUAGGACCCGUUUGUGCUCGGGACUUCACAAGUGAAUCAAACACCUUUACUUCAGUCUUCCAUCGAAUCACUCGCAUAAGGUGAGCUCAUACCCCUAUAAUCUACCUUUUAAAUGUUUUUAAAUGCCUUUAGGGGGGAGGGGUGGGGGGAUACAAGUUGAACACCAUAAAAUUUUGUUAAUAUUUACCCGUGAUAACCAUUAGAAAAAAGGAAUUCUUAGGCUUUUAUAAGUUAUUAAUUCAAUUCAAAAACUCUUUUAAAAGAUUUUCGAUUGUUGUUUAUACAAUCUGAUUUUUAAAGUACAUGCUUAGCUCAGUUGCUAAUUGAUUUGUUUCUACAAAUCAGUAGCUGUUCAAACAAAUAUACUAGUAAUCUAUAGAGGGUAUAGAUUAGGGGAUCAGUGUAUACUAUAUUCUAGAACAGAGGAUCAAUACAUGAUUCACGUACAUAUACUUUACACUCCAAGUAAACUAGGAAAGAAACGUACCAUCAAUUCAUUUGUUUAAAACAAAAUAUGAUAAUACUUUUAGUGUNGGUAUAAGGAUAUAUAUGGGGUGCAUCUACAAAGUACCAUGUUAUAUAUAUGGAGUACAUCUACAAAGUAUCGAGUUAUUUAUGGGGUACAUCUGCAAAGUUCCGGGUUUUAUUUAAAAAGGGGUACAUCUGCAAAGUACCGGGUUUUAUUUAAAAAUGGGCACAUCUACAAAGUACCGGUUUAUAACAAAUAAAUCAUAAAAAUAUAUAAAACUCACAACAGUAUCGACUAAGGCGUUUAGAGUAUGGGUUUUCUUAACUUCUAGUGGUUUUCCUAACAAUAGAAUUACGCCACAUAACUAUCCUAGUAACAUGAACAUACAGUUUGUAAGGGGCCUAUAAUGCUAACUUUAUGAUUCCUCAGUAGAUAGAUUAGGGUUAUAUAUUAAUCGGAUCCGACAGGCCAUAGGAUGUGUGCUUUCUUUUCCUGUUCCUUGUUUGGUUAUGGGCUUAGAGCAGAUUCACACAGUCUACUAUCUAUUCGAUCUUAGUUAUAUAUAUAUAUAUAUNCGUAUACACCAAGUAAUCAUAGGGGGUAACAGGUAUGGGACAUGUGAUAACACACAAUUACAACAUACCACUUUCUAGUACAAAAACAUACUUUUUGGAAGGAUCAUUAAGUAGGUGAAACGAGAAACUUUUUAUAAAAGGUUUAAUAAUAAUUGCUAAACUAGUAUAACAUAAAGGACUUUAAAUGUUAAUUAUAUAAUUCCUUAGUUUAUACAUCAAAGUUAUAUAUAAUUAAUAACCGAUAGGCAGUGGAAUGUGUGACUUCCACCUUAUUUCCUGUUCCUUGUUUGGUUGUGGGCUUAGGGCAGAUUCACACAUUUAACUGUUUGUUCGAUAUUAGGUUAUAUAUAGCUAGUAUAAACUAAGUGUAGAAGGAACUAUUGUGGUAACCAUUUUACUAAAGAAAAUAUAUGAUUUUCUUAAGGUUUAUUUUCAUCAAAUAUAAAAGAACUACUACAGUUAACUCCAUAGGCACCUAAUAAAUAUGCUAGGGUUAUAUACAAUGAAGAUCUAACAAACAAUGGGAUGUGUGACUUCCGCCUCAUUUCCUGUUCCUUGUUUGGUUGUGGGCUUAGGGAAGAUUCACACAAUCGAUUGUCUGUUUGAUCUAGAUUGUAUAUAACUUGUAUUCAUUAAGUACUCAUAGAAGGAAUUGUAGAGUCAUUUUUACUUAUCAUGUUUUAUAUCAGAAAAUAUAGGAUUGUCAGGAGGAACAGGCGAACUUUUCUAAAGAAGUUAGAGUAUACUUUUUAUAACAUAAAUACUUAAGAACUCACAAGCUUAAAUGCAGAUCUACUCUUUCAAAAUAACUUAUAUUCAUUAAGUACUCAUAGAAGGAAUUGUAGUCAUUUUUACUUAUCAUGUUAUUAUAUCAGAAAAUAUAGGAUUUUCUGGAGGAACAAGCGAAUUUUUCUAAAGAACUUAGAGUAUACUUUUUAUAACAAAAAUACUUAUGAACUCACCAACUUAAAUGCUGGUGUACUCUUUCAAAAUUACUUGUAUUCUCAGGGAACUAGUAGACAUGUACACGCUCAGGGAUUCUGAAGAUGGAGUGUAGUUGCUUCAUGUCUUUGUUUUGUUAUUUAAUUUCGGAGUCAAUCUUUUGUGAAUCAAAUACAAUGUAAACACUUUAAUAUUUAUAUAGUGGUUGUGGUUGCUUGCUUUACUAUGAUGCAUGUGUUGUGAUACUGAGCAUGACGUCCUCCGCCCCCGAACGUUUCCGUCUUUUUGGUUUGGGUGUGUGACAAUUUGCUUCUAUUAUAAUGAUAAGGGCUAUUGGAAAAAAAGUUGCCCCAAGUACUUGCAAGAUGUCAAGGAUGGCAAAGUGAAGCCAACGACGAUAGGUAUUUACACUAUUCAAACUAAUAAGUCACAACCUACUCGUUCUUGGGUUCUUGAUACAAGAUGUCGUUUUCACAUUUGUUCUGAUUUGUAGGGACUAAGAGAAAGUGUAGAGGUGGAGCAUGGAAUGAUAAAUAUGAUAAUGGGAAAUAGGGCAUCCUCUAUGUUACCAAGAUUGGAGUUAUAGUCUUAUCCAUAGUAGUGAUGUUAUAUUAGACUGAAUUGAUUAUUGUUAUUCUUCAGAAAUGACGCGAAACAUUCUUUAUUUUCAUGCGCUAUUUAUACAUGUUUUUGAUAUUUGUUUAAUGAUACGAAUGGUUCGAUUUGGGUUUAUAAAAAUGUCAUUUUUAUGUUUGAAGCUUUACCUUGUAAUGGUGUGUAUGAAACUAUGAUUUGUGUUAAUAGCUUAGGUAAUAGUGUAUUUCAUAUUGAUUCGUCUAAUGGUAUAUACAAGACAUGCUUGUGGCAUUGUCGUCUUGGGAACAUUAAAAAGAAAUGCACCACCCAAAUCCAAGAGGACGGAGUGUCGGAAUCAUUUGACUUAUGGCAAAAUGAUGAAUACGAAUCUUGUCUUUUGGGAAAGAUGAUAAAAUCACCUUUCACUGGAUCUUAUGAAAAAGGUGAAAGGACUGUUGGAUCGCAUACACAUAGAUGUGUGUGGACUCUUCAGAUUCAUUACAAGGGAUGUUAAUUGAUUUUAUAUGACAUUUACAUAUGAUUAUAGCAGAUUUGGUUAUAUCUACUGAAUCAAGCAUAAAUCAGAAGCCUUUGAAAAGUUAAAAGAGUUUCAACAUGAAGCUGGGAAUCAAUUAGGAAGAAAGAUAAAGAUGCUCUGAUCUGAUAGAGGUGGAGAGUAUCUUAGUAUCGAUUUCCACCACUAUUGCAAGGAAUGUGGAAUUUUUUCAUAAAUGACUCCUCUUAGGACACCAAAACUUAGUGGUGUGUCUGAGAGGCAUAAUCGGACCUUGUUAGACAUGGUUCGUUCCCUUAUGAGUCGAGCUUUUCUUCCUAUUUCUUUCUAGGGGUAUGCCUUAGAGACAACCGUCCAUAUCCUCAAUCUUGUCCCUACCAAGAAGGUUUCCAAAGCACCUCACUAGAUGUGGACAAGGAAGGUUCCGUCGUUAGCACAUAUCUAGGUGUGGGGUUGUGAAGCUUUCAUUAGAAGAGAGACUCAUGACAAGCUGGAACUGUCACACCCCGAAACCCAGGGCGGAAACGUUCCGGGGCGGAGGUGACUUCAUGUUGAAUAGCAUAACAAAUGUACAUAGUAAGCGAAGUAAAACACAAAACAUUACAUUACAUAGUUAUCAUUACAUUUGUUCAAAAGUAGAGUAAUACAAGUUUCAUAGAUACAUAAGUUAAACAAAAGAAAGACGUGACUCCAUAUGCUCUGUCUUCUGCAAAAGAACGCGAGAAAGAACUUGAGAAUACAAGCAGUUUAAAAAUCAGCAUAAAGCUGGUGAGUUCAUAAGCGGUUUUUUUUUGUGAAAAUGAACAAGAUCCCUUUUGUUUUCUGAAAAAGUGGUUGUCCAAGAAAAUCCCAUAUUUUCUUAAAAGUAAUGUUUAGUUUUCCAUUAUGUUACACAAUUCUGGUUAUGAAUAGUUGUUAUCCUAGGAAAAUCCUAUAUUUUCCUAAAAGUUGAUUACCGAGUUGAAAUGUAAUGUACAAGUAUCUACCAUACUUAAAAUGUUUAUGUAAUGUUUCCUGAAAGUUGAUUACCAAUCCAAAAUGCAAUGUAAAAGAUGUAUACUGAAAACCUGAUUAUCCUUGUGAAGUGUAUGUUAGUUUUAACACGUAUAUAAAACUAUCAUUAUAGUAAACUAAUUUCAAAGAUUAUUAAUUUACUAUAUUCAUUAUUACUAACAAGUAAAUCUUUGUUAUCCAAAUUACGAGUUCCAUAACCAUACGAUAGACUAGAUAUGGCAAUAAGUAGUCCAAAUCCUUUUAUGACUUUCGUCACCCUUGAACCUUUCGGUUCGGUUGUAGCUAGCAGCCAGCUGCGGGUUAGUCAGCCCCGUAUAGAUCUAUACACUCAAGUCACGCUCCCUAUCUAAGAGAUUCUGGUUACAGAGGCGGGCCUCCCCCCCCUUUUUUCNACUCGCUUAUCUCUAUGGAGUGUUCUCCGAGGACGUGUCUCCAAUUUAUAGGAAUAACAAAUCUACAAGUAAUAAUGCGGAAGAAAUCCUGUUUUAAUUCUAUUUACUAAGAUGAUCCUCCACUCGCGUAUCUCUGUGGAGUGUUACCGAGGACAAAACAAAUGUACUAAUCUAUUACUUUUAAUAAUAAUGUUAAGGAAAAACCAUUUGUGAAAAUAUAAAAUACAACAAUUUAUAACGUUUUUCACAAAUAAUACGAUAAUGUGAUCUGCAAGUUCAAACGGUUAUCUGUUAUGUUUGUCAGUGUUAAAAGCAUAUGUAAUAUGAAACACAACACAUAUAAAACAAGUUUUGAGUACAAGUAUUCCUUGUACUUUGCUUGUAUUCCCCCUGAAAACAGUGAAAAACAUUGAAAAAGGGUAGGGGUAUGAACUCAUCGGACGCGUAAUGUGUCGGCUAGGAUGCUAAACGUCGAAUCGAGGCUUGAAUACGUGCGAAGUUCCUAUGUAAUAUUAAAUAUUACACAAAUAUAUCUAAUUAGAUCUUAAUUCACUAAUUAGAUAGGAAUUUACACUCCAAGACGCGAAAACACUUAAAAUCAAGUGUUUGGAGUGACCUGAGUGACAUCUAAGGACUUGCAUGGCUUAGGAAUGGAGUUUACUUUUCAAGAGUAAACUCUUAUAAGAGUUUUCAUCCCUAAACACCAUAUUCACAUGAGUUCACAGCCGUGAACUCUUGGAUGGGAGGUUUAUGGUGCAAAAUGGCCUUGAAACACUUGGGGAUUAAAUCUAGGUUUGAGUUUAAUGCAUUGGAAAGGGUUUUAACUCACAAAUGAACCAUUUAUUGGAGUUUAUGACAGUAAAUUAGGAGUUUACGGCUGUAAACUCCCCCACACACAUUCCUUAUGUAAUUUGGUGAUGCUAGGACAAUCACAUGUGAUUCCAACUAAUUUUACAAGCCAAGGAGUGAAUUUUGGGCAUCAUUUGACUUAUGUUUAGGAGUUUACGACCCUGGAACCUAUUUUUUUUUUUUGGGGGGGGGGUUAUGGCCGGAAACUUCNUAGGAGUUUACGGCCCUGGAACCUAUUUUGGGGGGUUAUGGCCGUAAACUCUCAAAUGAGGGGUUUUUAUCAUGUUUAAGGUCCCCAAAUCAAUUGUGGUUGGUUCUAGGAUUUAUUCCCAGGCUAAUGGUGUGUUUAAGUGGCAUUUAAACACUUGAAAAUGAGUUUACUCUCCAAGAUAAUGAGUUUACGGCCCAAGCAUGUUCUUGGGCAGUAAAGUCAUGUUUACUCCUCAAAAAUUAAGUUCAAGGUGUUCUAUGUCCGAUUUGGUAAUUCCCUAAGUCAUAUCUAAGCUCCAAAUGAGGUUUGGAAGGGUUUUAUGGCUCAAAAAAACCUUUUAUAUGAGUUCACGGACUAGGACUGUUCUAGGGCCGUAAACUCAUGAUAAUGGUCCUAAUGCAUGAUUUAAACUCGAAUUUGAAGGCUAAAUGUGUUAUACUAGAAGCUAGGAUAGUUACCUUGGUGUUUUGAAGCUUGAAAUGAGUGAUUUUAGAUCUACGAGUUUGAGUUGAGGAGAGAGGUUAGAGAGAGAGAGAGUGAAAAGGCUUCAAAUGAGGCUUAAACAACUUUAAAUAUGGUUUGGAAAUGAGACACGAUGAAAUUCUACCCAAUACCGACGUUAACCGAGGCUUUUGGUCGCACCCGAUUAAGUUAUCGUAACUUAACAUGGUCAAAACCAAAAUUUUUCUAAUUAUUAGUUUGAGGUGUUUACUUGAGUUUCUAAUGUGUUUGGGUACUUACAAGGUCAAAAUAAAAGCCUUAAAUUAAUUGACCUAAUAAAAAACGAACUUGGAACAAUUUGCUACCGGCAAGCUUUAUUGACGGAACGAUUACGGCGAGGGAACAAAUUUCGGGUUGUUACAGGAACCUAGAAGUGAGAGAUGUAUUUUCAUUGGCUACCAAAAAGAGGAGUCUUUUAUGAGAUAAAGCUCAUAUGAAAAGUGGGCAGUGGGAGUACAAUUGAUCUCGAAUAGAUGCAAGAGUCAACCAAUGAAGGAAACUUAGAAGAUACUAGCUCUCAACCAGAGGAUGAGACUCCUGUUGAACCACUUGACGAUCAAUUACCACUUCGUCAUUCUAGUAGAAUUAAAAUGCCUCCUGAUUAUUUAUGGUUUUCAUACAACUAUAGAAGGUGAUACGUUUGUGAGUGAUCAUAAUAUUGUUGGAUUAGUGUCUAAGGCUGUAACUAUAUUUGGUAAGUACUUGACCCGAUUAUGCAUCAUCCUUUUGGGUUGUCUUCACCAUAGCAACUUGACAGGAUGAUUUGUAAAGAGAGAGGAUAUAUUAUUGUUAAUAUAUUAUUUGAUUGAUAUAAGUUAUAUAUUAAUUAAGAAUUAAUUUGGUGACUCAAAGAGAUUAAUUGAAUAUAGGGGCAUAAACUAUCAAAUGUGUGAUAGUUGUGUUUUGGGCUAUGUAUCCUUAUGGAUAUAAGGGUGGAUGGAUUUUAGGGUUAGGAGACCUUAAAAUUGUCCAAGCCUAAUAUCUAGGAGGAUCUUUGUAUUGCUUAGGGCCUAAGUUAUUCAAUUAGGGUUUAGGGUGAAACCCUAAUAGCUUAUAGUAUAAAUAGAUCCCUUGGGUGAGGGAAAUCGGUAUUCAUGCAAGGCAAGAAACCCUAGAGCCGAUUUCUUACCUUUCUUUCUCUCUUCCAAGAUAAUCCUCUUUCUAGUUGGUGUUUGUAAGCCAUUAGAGGAGUAACAGUUGUGACUCUAAGCUCCAAGAUCAAGAAGUCUCAAGCAAACAACCUAAGGUAUUCUUCUAGAUGUGUUUUUAUAUGAUAUGAUUCAAUUGUUUACACUAGAUCUAGAAUUAUAAGCCUUGGACACAUUGCAUGUUCAAUUAGAGAAACCUAGAUCCAAGCAUUAGGGUUUGCAUGUACACAUAGGAAAGUUCUUAUGGCUCAAACCCAUCAAUGGUAUCAGAGCUUUGGUUGAUUUCUAAUGAAUUGAUGCAUUGGUUGAUUGCAUGUUGCUUGAAAAAUUCGAUUUUUUGUGAUUAUGUCUGAUGAACUCAACGAGUUCCACUAUGGACUCGGCGAGUAGCUCCAACUCGGCGAGUCCAUAGUGGAACUCAGCGAGUUCGAACGUCAGUUGGAGGUAGUUUCGGGAUUUCUGGUUGUUUUACUUGAGGAUACUUGCCUUAACUAUUUUAGGUCAUUAAAAUCCGAUUUUAAUCAUAUAUAUGAGUAUAUUCUUGACCAAAAAAAAGAUAAUUACCAAUUAGUUGAAUAAUAAUUUCCUUAUAUGAUAAUAAUUGAUUAUUUGAAUUGAAUUGGUGAAUUGUCUUUCAAGUAAUAUUGAAUAAGAUCAAAUUGAGAUAAUCUAAUUAGUUGAUUUAUAUUAUUUGCUAUUUGUUCCUUAUGUUUUGAAAAAUUUAAAACUUGUCCUCAAGUUUUGAAAUUUAAAAGUUUAAUUUGAAUAAUUUAAAUUUCAAAUCCUAGAAUUUUACAAGUUUAAAAUUCAACACUAUACUAAUAUAUUAUUACAAGCUUAAUAUAUAAAUGUAUGAUUUAAAAAUGCUAGUCUUACCGUUAGUAGGCCUCAUUCACGAAGCCAGUCUAUUAGGUGGGUAUAAGGUUGCUGCCUAUAAAAUGACACUUAAUGGGUGUACACUCACACCCACCGCUUGCUUGACUGGUGGAGGGUUGUUAGCCGAACGGGUAGGAUAGUGCGAACCUCUUCUCAUUAAUAAGUAUAAUUAAUCUAUAUAAAGUAACUAAACGUGUUUCAUAAAAUUCCCAAUCUUAGUUACUUUAGGAAAAGUGAAUUGAUGCAAUCCCAUGAAAUUACACUUUGCACCCUUGCUAAGAAGUUAGUAGAGCGUGUGUGGUUAACCGGCACACUAAUUGGUUCUAAGCAGAGGUGGCAAAGGGUGAUUCAUUGUUUGUCAUAGUUUGGUGGAGCGUGUGUGGUUUACCGGUACAUCGAAUUGGUGAUUGUAACAAUGAAGGCACCAUGUAGAUUUGCAAGGUUAUUCACACCCGCUUUGUGAUCCUCGGUAUCCUAGUCACACACUAGAGGGGCAUAUCGAGCUUUAAACAUGUCGUUGAAAAGUUCAAUGAAUCUUAAAGAAGUCUAGGAGUUCUCAAUACAUUUAAAACUUAAGCUUAUGUUUUUCAUGGUGAAGAAUUAGUGAAUCGUCAUUCACUUACCUCCAAAUUAUUUGCAUGUUGGAUUACGGCAUCCCUUUUCUAACGUAUAAAUAAAGUUUUCGGGUCCUAGCCCUAAUUUUUAUUUCAGGUGUUAAUUAGGUACUUAACUCUAAUCAAACUUUGUUUCCUUUCUAUUUGUAGAUGUCUAACGCGAACAACGCUGUUGCUAGCUCAUUCACGCUAAUGAGCCUUUGUAAAAAAAGUGACUUUUGACGGAUCGAACUUUAGCGAAUGGAUAAGAUACAUUCACAUGAUCGCGUGUUACGAGGACAAAGAGUAUGUUCUCGAUGAGAAGCUCGAGAAGAUCAAUCCAGAAACUGCUACUCCCGAAUAAAUGGCUGUCUUUGAGACCCAUGAGCGUGAUGCAACGAAAGUCCAUUGCAUCAUGAUAGCCACGAUGAACUUCAAAUUCCAAAAGUCCUAUGAGGACAUGUAUCCUUAUGAGAUGAAUCUAGACUUGAUGGAGAGAUACACCAAAGCGCGAGGCAAGAGCGAUUUGAGAUCAUAACGAAUAUGAUCACUGCUAAAAUGGGAAGUGGAGAGUCUCUAACCGUGCACUUGCAAAAAAUGCAAAGGUAUGUUGAUCGCCUUCGCAAGUUGAAUGUCAACUUUGGGGAAGAUUUGGCUAUCGACAUUGUUCUUCACUCCUUGCCCUCAUGCUACAACCAAUUUAGGAUGACCUACCACAUGAACAAGGAAGAGGUCACCCUAAGCAAACUCCAAGGGCUCCUAAGGACUGCUGAGAGCAACCUAAAGGACAAGUCUGUUGCACCAACUCCCAAUCCAUCCGCUGCUCCUGUUUUGGCUAUUGGGCAGGGAAGGGGCAAGAAGAGGAAGGCUUCUUCAAAGAACCACCGCAAGGGAAAGUCCCAAGAUGGUUCCUCUUCUAGUGGGACCAAGGUUGAUCCUGCUAAGCCCAACCCAAACCCAAAGGAGGCAGAGUGCCACCAUUUCCACAAAAUAGGGCAUUGGAAGAGAAGCUGCUCGGAAUAACUGCAAGCCAUCAAGGAUGGGAUGAUCAAGCCAUCUUUCGCAGGUAUUUACACAAUUAAAUCUAAUGAUUCAUCUCAUGCUAUUUCUUGGGUUCUUGAUACAGGAUGUGGUUAUCACAUAUGUUCUGAUUUGCAGGGACUAGGAAUAAAUAAGGAUGUGGAUCUUGGAAGAAUAAAUCUAAUCAUGGAGAACAGAAGAUCGUCGCCUAUUACCAAGAUUGGAGUGUAUUCUUUAGUGCUUAGUAAUGGAUUGAAUUUAGAUUUAAAUAAUUGUUGCUACUCGCCANAUGGCAAGAAACAUCAUUUCAUUUCAUGGUUUGUUUAGACAAGGAUUUAGAUAUUCGUUUAAUAAUAUGAAUGGUUCUAUUUAUGCUUAUCUAAAUGGUGUUUUAUACUUUGAAGCUAUGCCUUGUAAUGGAAUUUAUGAAACUGUUAUGGUUGUAGAUAACCUAGGAAAUGAUGUGUUGUGUAUAGAUUCUUCCAAUAGUAUGGAUAAAGCGUCUUUGUGGCAUUGUUAUCUUGGACAUGUCAACAAUAAGCUCAUAGCCCAACUCCAAAAGGAUGGAGUGUCGGAGUCAUUCGACCUUAGGGAAGAUGACACGUGCGAAUCUUUUUUACUCAGAAAGAUGACCAAGUCACCCUCCACUGGCACUUGUGAAAGGGUGAGGGUCUAUUGGAUCUUAUACACACCGAUGUGUGUGGGACCUUUAGAUCCACCACAAGGGAUGCGAACCGCUUCUAUGUGACUUUCACCGACGAUUAUAGUAGAUAUGGGUAUAUCUAUUUAAUCAAGCACAAGUC